UAAUUAGGUUCCCACUGUCUCUCUGGUACCACAGCGAAGAAGAAAGAACACUCUUUUCUCUCUCUAUCGCUCUCUCUCUCUCUGGCUUUCGAAGAUCUUCAAAUUGUAAUCAAGAACAAAAAUGGACAACAGCAGUGAAGAAGAGUCAGAUUUUAGUGAAUCAGAGAUCAAUGACUAUGUGGAUAAACCAUAUGAACAGCUGAGGACUGGGAGGCUUGUUGUAAAAACAGCAAAUGGAAUUCUUAGAUGCCCGUUUUGCAUGGGCAAGAAGAAACAAGACUACAAAUAUAAGGAUUUACUCCAGCAUGCUUCUGGAGUGAGUAAAGGUUCUAAAAACAGGAAUGCUAAACAGAAGGCGAACCAUCUUGCUUUAGCAAAAUUUCUGCAGAAUGAGCUAGCUUCUGAAGCAGACCAAGCACCACGUCCAGCUGCACCUACUCCUAUUAGUCAGGAUUCUGAGAAAGAGCUUUAUGUAUGGCCUUGGAUGGGUGUCAUAGUCAAUAUAUUGGUAGGGGAGGACCGAAAGUCGGUCUGUGAUUCAGGAUACUGGAUGAAAAAAUUUGCUAAAUAUAGACCCUUAAAUGUUUGUAUUUUUUGGAAUGAUAAUGAACCAAGAGCUCAGGCAAUAGUUGAAUUCAACAAUGAUUGGAAUGGUUUUGUAAAUGCAACGGACUUUGAAAAAUUGUUUGAGACCAACAAUCAUAGUAAAAAGAAUUGGAAAGCUGAAACAAAUUUGAGCUUGAAUAUUUUUGGUUGGUGCGCACGGGCUGAUGAUUAUAAUUCAAAUGAGCCGAUAGGAGAGUUUCUUCGACAAAGAGGGAAAUUGAGGACUGUCUCAGACAUUGUGAAUGAAGCAACUCAAAGUAGAAAUACUGUUGUGGAGAAUCUGACCCAUGAAAUUGAUUUGACUAAUGAAAAUUUGGAUGAACUGCAAUACAAGUACAAUGAGAAGACAAUGUCUUUAAGUAGGAUGCUUGAAGAGAAAGACCAGCUUCACCAUGCUUUUGUUGAAGAAACUAGAAAGACACAAAGACUUGCACGCGACAAUGUUAGAAGAAUAUUAGAAGAACAAGAAAAACUGCACCAAGAAUUGGAGACGAAGAAAAAGAAACUUGAUUCCUGGAGUAAGCAAUUGAACAAACGUGAAGCAUUGACUGAAAUCGAGAGACAAAAGCUUGAUGAAGAGAAGAAAAAGAAUGAUAUGAGGAACAAUUCGCUCCAAUUAGCUUCUUUGGAACAGAGAAGGGCUGAUGAAAAUGUUUUACGCCUUGUUGAAGAGCAGAAGAGAGAAAAAGAAGAGGCUUUAAGCAAGAUUCUUCAGUUAGAAAAGCAGCUGGAUGCCAAGCAGAAGCUGGAAAUGGAAAUUCAAGAAUUGAAAGGGAAACUACAGGUUAUGAAGCAUCUUGAGGAUCAAGAUGAUGUAGGAGUGCAACAGAAGAUGAAAGAAAUGGAUGAUGAUUUGAAUCAAAAGGUUGAAGAUUUGAAUGAUUUGCAUGAGUUGUAUCGAACUCUAGUUGCUAAGGAGCGUGAAAGCAAUGAUGAGUUACAAGACGCCCGUAAAGAAUUGAUAAGUGGAUUGCAAGAUCAAUCGUCAAAUGUCCGUGUUAAUAUUGGAAUAAAGAGAAUGGGGGAUAUUGAUAUUAAACCAUUCCAGAAUACUUGCAAACAGAAAUUUUCUCCGGAUGAGGCAAUGAUCCAAGCCUCCACUUUAUGCUCCUUGUGGCAGGAUAAUUUGACUGAUCCAAAUUGGCAUCCAUUUAAAGUUGUUACUAUCGACGGGGAUUCCCAGGAAAAUAUUGACGAGGAUGAUGAGAAACUGAAAGGUCUCAAGCAGGAAUGGGGUGAUGAGAUAUACAAUGCCGUUGUUGUUGCCCUUAAAGAAAUGAAUGAAUAUAAUCCAAGUGGUCGUUAUUCUGUACCUGAAUUAUGGAACUUUAAGGAAGGAAGGAAAGCUACUUUGAAGGAGGUCAUCAGCUAUAUUGUUAAGAGUAUCAAGUCACUUAAGCGAAAGAGAACAUGAGAGGAAGAUCCCAGAAGGGAAAGAGAACGCUAGAGGAAGGUGAAGAAUUCGAUGUGAAUUGCUAGGCCUUAUUGCUUGCAACUUAUCCAGUGGGACCUUUUUCCUGUGGUGAAUUGAACAAACAACUCCUAUCCGCGAGGCAAAUUCAUCAUCUUGACUUUUGUUUGUAGUAUGUAGUUCAGAGGUAUCUCAAAGUAGAUAGGAGCAGGCUGCCUGGUGGCAAAAUUCCAACUCUCAAUGCGUUCAACAGCUUUACUUCAAAGGUCAGCUCAUAAUGUAUGGCUUCAAAUUAGAUAAGAACAUAAAAUUUUGCCCAUUAUGAAAUGUUUCUGUUCUUUCAACAUUAGUUCCAAAUGGGCUUAUCAACUUUCCCUAGUUGCUUGUUCUUGUUGAAAUUGUUGAUGGCGAGUACAUCCUGUUUUAUCAUUGCCUUGCUAUAUGCUCUACAUUUUUCAGCUAAAGUUUAAUUAAUUUCAGCAUUUCUA